rnacentral:lncRNA from 1 species
AGAGGCGGAGCGGUGCCAAAGCGACGUGAAAUCCGCUGCUCCGGGUUUUACUAGCAGCACGAGGAAGAGCCUGGACCCUGCUGGGGAAGCUGUCAGUGGAGGCGCUCUUCAGGUGUCUGGACUGCUGGAUGUGGGUGCUGGGAACAAAAGGGGAGUUAGCACGUAAAGUGCAGAGACUGAAAACUGGUGCGGAGAGGACCACCGCAUGGAUGCAAUCUCCCUUCAUACCACUUCUCAUUAAAACUGCGUCUU